AGAGUUUGAUCAUGGCUCAGAUUGAACGCUGGCGGCAGGCCUAACACAUGCAAGUCGAACGGUAACAGGAAUCAGCUUGCUGAUUCGCUGACGAGUGGCGGACGGGUGAGUAAUGUCUGGGAAACUGCCUGAUGGAGGGGGAUAACUACUGGAAACGGUAGCUAAUACCGCAUAAUGUCGCAAGACCAAAAAGGGGGACCUUCGGGCCUCUUGCCAUCGGAUGUGCCCAGAUGGGAUUAGCUUGUUGGUGGGGUAACGGCUCACCAAGGCGACGAUCCCUAGCUGGUCUGAGAGGAUGACCAGCCACACUGGAACUGAGACACGGUCCAGACUCCUACGGGAGGCAGCAGUGGGGAAUAUUGCACAAUGGGCGCAAGCCUGAUGCAGCCAUGCCGCGUGUAUGAAGAAGGCCUUCGGGUUGUAAAGUACUUUCAGCGGGGAGGAAGGGAGUAAAGUUAAUACCUUUGCUCAUUGACGUUAUCCGCAGAAGAAGCACCGGCUAACUCCGUGCCAGCAGCCGCGGUAAUACGGAGGGUGCAAGCGUUAAUCGGAAUUACUGGGCGUAAAGCGCACGCAGGCGGUUUGUUAAGUCAGAUGUGAAAUCCCCGGGCUCAACCUGGGAACUGGCAUCUGAUACUGGCAAGCUUGAGUCUCGUAGAGGGGGGUAGAAUUCCAGGUGUAGCGGUGAAAUGCGUAGAGAUCUGGAGGAAUACCGGUGGCGAAGGCGGCCCCCUGGACGAAGACUGACGCUCAGGUGCGAAAGCGUGGGGAGCAAACAGGAUUAGAUACCCUGGUAGUCCACGCCGUAAACGAUGUCGACUUGGAGGUUGUGCCCUUGAGGCGUGGCUUCCGGAGCUAACGCGUUAAGUCGACCGCCUGGGGAGUACGGCCGCAAGGUUAAAACUCAAAUGAAUUGACGGGGGCCCGCACAAGCGGUGGAGCAUGUGGUUUAAUUCGAUGCAACGCGAAGAACCUUACCUGGUCUUGACAUCCACGGAAGUUUUCAGAGAUGAGAAUGUGCCUUCGGGAACCGUGAGACAGGUGCUGCAUGGCUGUCGUCAGCUCGUGUUGUGAAAUGUUGGGUUAAGUCCCGCAACGAGCGCAACCCUUAUCCUUUGUUGCCAGCGGUCCGGCCGGGAACUCAAAGGAGACUGCCAGUGAUAAACUGGAGGAAGGUGGGGACGACGUCAAGUCAUCAUGGCCCUUACGACCAGGGCUACACACGUGCUACAAUGGCGCAUACAAAGAGAAGCGACCUCGCGAGAGCAAGCGGACCUCAUAAAGUGCGUCGUAGUCCGGAUUGGAGUCUGCAACCCACUCCAUGGUGGAUCGGCAGGUUCGUGGUCAAGGCCCGGUGAAUAUUCCCGGGCUUCUAUCCACGAUUACUAGCGUCCGACCAUGGAUCGAGUUGCAGACUCCAAUCCGGACUACGACGCACUUUAUGAGGUCCGCUUGCUCUCGCGAGGUCGCUUCUCUUUGUAUGCGCCAUUGUAGCACGUGUGUAGCCCUGGUCGUAAGGGCCAUGAUGACUUGACGUCGUCCCCACCUUCCUCCAGUUUAUCACUGGCAGUCUCCUUU
rnacentral:rRNA from 1 species